rnacentral:rRNA from 1 species
UACGUAGGCAGCAAGCGUUGUUCGGAGUUACUGGGCGUAAAGAGUGUGUAGGCGGUUCUCUAAGUUCGGUGUGAAAUCUCCCGGCUCAACUGGGAGGGGGCGCCGGAAACUGGAGGGCUUGAGUAUGGGAGAGGAAAGCGGAAUUCCUGGUGUAGCGGUGAAAUGCGUAGAUAUCAGGAGGAACACCUGCGGUGUAGACAGCUUUCUGGACCAUCACUGACGCUGAGACACGAAAGCGUGGGUAGCAAACAGG